AACAUUCUGUGCAUUCCACUAAUAGUUUUGAGUAUAUAUUCAUUUUUAAAAUAUAUACUCAAAACUAUUAGUGGAAUGCACAGAACAU
rnacentral:miRNA from 1 species